UGGCAACCAGUCAAGGCAGGGUUCUCCAUGGAUCUCCUCCCGAGUGUUUAUAACAUGCUUUCAUGCAUGCUGUGGCUGAUUUGCAUCAGAACAUGGUUCCAUGCUAGCUUGCUUGUCUUGGAGGAUUUCUGGCUGGGAGAGUCCGAUGUUGGCAUGGCUCAAUCAAAUCGAGUGGGCAGCGAUCGAGGAGUGAUGUGAUUGUUUAACUCGAUCUGAUUGAGCCGUGCCAAUAUCGCAACCUCCUUUUGCCUAGCAGCAGCCUAUAUGAUGGGAUGGGAGGAUAAUCAAGAAUGAUUAUUGGAGGUCAUCAUUAGAGUCAAUUUUGAAGACUGCUCCAAUGAAUUGAGUCUAUGAUUUGGCAUGUUUGGGCCUUGCGGGUGAGAUAAGUAGCAAGUAUAUCAGUAUACCACACCAUGAUCGUAUUUUCAUUUUCUAAUGAAAUUAAUGAAACCCCUUUGGUGAUA